rnacentral:tRNA from 1 species
GGGAUUGUGGCUUAGUGGUAGAGUGCUUGCCUAGCAUGCAUGAAGCCCUGGGUUCGAUUCCUCAGUAACA